rnacentral:rRNA from 1 species
CUGACCGAGCAACGCCGCGUGAGUGAAGAAGGUUUUCGGAUCGUAAAACUCUGUUGUUAGAGAAGAACGUUAAGUAGAGUGGAAAGUUACUUAAGUGACGGUAUCUAACCAGAAAGGGACGGCUAACUACGUGCCAGCAGCCGCGGUAAUACGUAGGUCCCGAGCGUUGUCCGGAUUUAUUGGGCGUAAAGCGAGCGCAGGUGGUUUCUUAAGUCUGAUGUAAAAGGCAGUGGCUCAACCAUUGUGUGCAUUGGAAACUGGGGAACUUGAGUGCAGGAGAGGGGAGUGGAAUUCCAUGUGUAGCGGUGAAAUGCGUAGAUAUAUGGAGGAACACCGGAGGCGAAAGCGGCUCUCUGGCCUGUAACUGACACUGAGGCUCGAAAGCGUGGGGAGCAAACAGGAUUAGAUACCCUGGUAGUCCACGCCGUAAACGAUGAGUGCUAGCUGUAGGGAGCUAUAAGUUCUCUGUAGCGCAGCUAACGCAUUAAGCACUCCGCCUGGGGAGUACGACCGCAAGGUUGAAACUCAAAGGAAUUGACGG